rnacentral:misc_RNA from 1 species
CAGAAACUCAGUCUCCGAAAGAAACCAAGCAGUACCAAUCAGAAAACCAAGCAAUACCGAUCAACCUUCUCCUUCACCAGCCACCGUUUUGCAAUCAGAAUAGCCCCACACCACUGCUAGAAUACUCGCUGGCUUGUGGUGAGUCCAGAGCUGCCCUUUCGGCCUCCAGAAAUUGGCUGAAACUCCAGAUCUGAUCGGGUUGGAUUUCUACUCGAAUAUCAACCCACUGGAAUUUCAGAUUUUCCGGCCAUCUGACCCUCCCCAACCCUUCAAUGGCUAAUCUGCCCAUCUUUAUUGUCAGAACUGUUGUAUGACUUCCAAGCUGCAAAAAUCUAUUGGGUCAAGUCAAGGAAUAUGCUGGAUUCUAUUUUUUCUAUGAAAAUGACUCCUAAAUUGCUG